AACAAUCAAACUAAAGGAGACCUCAGACAACCCAUCUGGCCCAAUCCUGUGUUUCCAGGCAAGCGCAGCGCCUGAUUCCUCCACACAGAAUUUCCUUCUUUUUGUGGCUGGAUUAACUCUUGAAUACCAAAAACUUCUGAUCCUGUACUUGGAGCCUGUUGUUAAAAUGUCAUUUCCAAACAAACAUAGGUUACAAUCUUUUCUUCUCUCUCUCUCUUUUUUUCCUUUCCCCAAGAUCAAAGAAGGCAUUUGGGCCUUUAAGAUAACAUUCAUUUGGAAAGAGAUGGUAAUAUAUAAGAUUAAUGAAAAUUAACAUAAUCCCUCUGAGUAGAAGAGAGCCUUUGUUCAAUCGCUUGUCCUGCUGUUAAUUAUGCGUUAGGUGGUGAUAAAUGCUUUAAAUCAAACGAUGCUGUGAAAACCAUUUAAAUGAUUUUCACCUAAUUAGGUUCCUUGCCCUGUUCUGAGCCAGGGAUCCCUCCCCAGCGCACCCGCCUCCUUUUGAUAUGUAAUGUACCAGGGGGAAUCAGGGAACCCUGAGCUGGAGAAGGAACCUUUUCUGGCUUCUCUGGCUCUGACCAACCACCGUGGGCCCACUGUUGCGAUUUAUUUUUUCUGAGCGGCUUUGCAGAUCUGAGAUCAAAAGAAAAUUUAUCAGUUUCUGUCUCCCUUCAGCCCAUUCCAGCCAGACUUUGUGACAAGACCCUAUCAGACUUAAAGUUGAGAAGGCGAUAGACAUGGUUUGCUUCUCCAUUGUAACGAACAAGUUUCUUGGCCAGAGCACAGUUUUACCCCUGCCUCAUUCCUUCAGGCCUCCAGGGCUACAGUUCGGGUCUCACUUUGCAAGGAGGGAAGGAUGAGGACCAGACCCUUCUACUUAAAUGUUUAAGCAGCAGAAAUUGUCAGGCAUAGAGUGGGUCUAGUCCCAGCUCUGUUGCAAACCUGCUGCAUGGGAUCAGCAGGUCCCCUGACAUUUCUGAGUUUUUAUUUCUUCCUCUGCAAAAUGAGUAGGCAACAGACAACGUGCUUGCUAAAGUUCCUUACGGCACAAGGAUUUAUGCCAGGGUUUUAUACAUGUGGAAGGCAGUUUUCAAAGUUGCUUUCAACUUGAGCAGCACCCCAAUGGGUGAACAGAACAUGGGUCCCAUGAAGUGAGAAAAAAAAAAGAAUAAUGCUACUAUGGACAUUCAUAUACAAGUUUUUGUGUGAACAUCUGUUUUCAUUUCUUUUCAGUAUAUAUCUAAUAGUGGAAUCACUGUGUUAAAUUAUCCAAACCAGUGCUUGAAUCACAACUACAUCAUAUUUCUCUUUUUUUUUUUUUUUUUUGAGAAAGAGUUUCACUCUUGUCGCCCAGGAUAAAGUGCAGUGGCAUGAUCUCAGCUCACUGCAACCUCUGCCUCACUGGUUCAAGCGAUUUUCCUGCCUCAGCCUCAUGAGUAGCUGGAAUUACAGGUGCACACCGCCAUGCCAAGCUAAUUUGUGUAUUUUUAUUAGAGACGGGGUUUCACCAUGUUGGCCAGGCUGGUCUCCAUCUCCUGACUUCAGGUGAUCCACCUGCCUCCCAAAGUGCUGGGAUUACAAGCAUGAGCCACUGUGCCCAGCCAACUACACCAUAUUUCUGGCAACAGUAGUAUAUUAUAAAAUAUACUAAAUAUACCAUACAACUCACCUAUUUAAAGUCUACAAGUCAAGGGUUUUUAGUAUAUUCAUAGAGUUGUGCAACCAUCACCACAAUCAAUUUUAGGACAUUUUAUCACACCUAAAAAGAAACCCUGUAUUUUUUAGCUAUUACCCAUGGUCUCCCAUCCCCCUCUGCCCCAGGCAACCACUAAUCUACUUUCUGCCUCUAUAGAUUUGUCUGUUCUGGACAUUUCAUAUAAAUGAAAUGAAAAUGGAGUCAUUGGGAUUGACUUCUUUCACUUAGCAUGAUGCUUUCAUAGUCUGUCCAUGCUGUAACAUGUAUCAGUAAGUCAUUCUUCUUUACGGCUGAAUAAUAUUCCAUUUUGUGGAUAGACCACAUUUUGAUUACCCAUUCAUCAGUUGAUGGACAUGUAGGUUGUUUCCAGCUUUUUUUUUUUUUUUUUUUUGUCAUUAAGAGUAAUGCCACUAUGAGGCCAGGCACUGUGGCUUACUCCAGUGAUCCCAGCACUUUGGGAGGCUGAGACAAGUGGAUCACUUGAGGUCAGGAGUUUGAGACCAAUCUGGCCAACAUGGUGAAACUCCAUCUCUACUAAAGAUACAAAAAUUAGCCAGGUGGACGCCUGUAAUUCUGGCUACUCAGGAGGCUGAGGCAGGAGAAUGGCUUGAACCUGGGAGGCUGAGGUUGCAGUGAGCCGAGAUCAUAUCAUUGCACUCCAGCCUGGGUGACAGAGCAAGACUCCAUUUUUAAAAAAUAAAAAUAAAAAAGAAUAAUGUCACCAUGAAUAUUGAUGUACAAGUUUUUGUGUAGACAUCUGUUUUCAUUUCUUUUCAGUGUAUACCUAAUAUGUUGUGCAAUCAUUGGGUCAACUAAUUGCCAUGAAGGCAGAGUCUUCGUAUGAACAAGUUGCAGCUGAGGGGCCUUUGGAACAUUCAAAGGGGGAUGUGUUGCAGGGAAUGGGAUAAACAGGUCAGACCUCCAGCAGAGAGGUAAGGGAUUGAAACAUGCAGUUGGGAGCAGGAGGAAAUGCCUUCUCAGAGCACGGCAAUGGCAGUCAUUUUCUGGAGAUGUCGGGUGCCAUGUGAGGGUAUAUCCUGCAAAUGCACCUGUAAGGGUGAACUGUCAUCCCUGUGUGGGCCACAGUUCAUCUGGCUUCCUGGAGGAGCUGCAUUUCUCAAUCAAAACCCUGGACCUGAGCAGGAAGGCUGGAAGGGAGAUAAGCAGACAUCCUUCCUGGAGUGCACAGAUAAUGAACAAAAUGAGAUACGGAAUAAAUCUUUUAGUUCAAUAUUCAUGAAAACUCCAUGAACAGACAAAUCCAUGAACAGACAAAACAGU
rnacentral:lncRNA from 1 species